UAAAAUGGAAAUAUAUUCUUACAUAAUGUAACACCAAGACAAGAAUGCAUAAACUGGUAACAAGACAGUCAAGUUUUAUCAUUCGCAGAGUGCUUUCGUGCUUACUUUAGAACGUAUUAGUAUAUUUAAAAUGUCAAAAAGUGACGUAAUUAUUUUGUUUGCAACAGUUCUAAUGUCUUCCGUAUCGAUUAAGAUAGUAAAUCCUAUGGAAGGCACUAUGAUAUUCUUAACAAAGGAUAUUGACGUGAAGCCAUCGCCUGUUCUUACAUUCGCAUCGACAGUGGAAAAUAUAAACGCAGCUGCCGUACAAGUGCCUUAUACAGAGAUCCGAACAACGCAACCGAUACCGAUACUACAAACAGUCUUGGUACCACCAGUAAACGAAGCCUUCAACAAACCUGCUGUAGGUUCGCACACUAUUGAACCAACGCCAAAGCAAGCGCCCUUGAUAGUAGCUGGUGAAACAGUAAUGACAUUGGAACCAGUUAAAGCCAUAGCACCAACUCAAACUGUUAAAGUAACCCCCACAAAAUCAUACGAAGAACUUUUAAGAGAUUUAAUCGCACUCAAGCAAUAAGAAUAUGAUGAAGAUUCUCGAAGUUGAAGAAUAAUGAAUACUUCCAAAUUUUUGACUGAUCAUCAUAUAAUCAAGUUUUGAGUACUUAAAAUAAAUUACAUAUAAUUAUAGACACAAGGUUGUUAUGGAUAUAUCUUUUUCGCUUCGUAAGUGAGACAAUGCAUAGGAUUCCCCAUGUGACUGGAUAAACCAGUCUUAAAGGCUAUUUAAAUUAUUAUUUAUAAGAUGUUUUCGAACUCAUAUAUGGCGUGAAACUCGUCAUAGAAUAAGAAUACAACGUUGCGCAGAAACAGGUUCAAGAAAGGAUCGGACAUAGUUUGUGAAUUUAAAAUAUUGUUUGUUAUUAAGAUAUGUUAAAUAACUUA